rnacentral:rRNA from 1 species
GAUGAACGCUGGCGGCGUGCCUAAUACAUGCAAGUCGAGCGAACGGACGAGAAGCUUGCUUCUCUGAUGUUAGCGGCGGACGGGUGAGUAACGCGUGGAUAACCUACCUAUAAGACGGGGAUAACUUCGGGAAACCGGAGCUAAUACCGGAUGAUAUUUUGAACCGCAUGGUUCAAAAGUGAAAGACGGUCUUGCUGUCACUUAUAGAUGGAUCCGCGCUGCAUUAGCUAGUUGGUAAGGUAACGGCUUACCAAGGCAACGAUGCAUAGCCGACCUGAGAGGGUGAUCGGCCACACUGGAACUGAGACACGGUCCAGACUCCUACGGGAGGCAGCAGUAGGGAAUAUUCCGCAAUGGGCGAAAGCCUGACGGAGCAACGCCGCGUGAGUGAUGAAGGUCUUCGGAUCGUAAAACUCUGUUAUUAGGGAAGAACAGAUGUGUAAGUAACUGUGCACGUCUUGACGGUACCUAAUCAGAAAGCCACGGCUAACUACGUG